rnacentral:lncRNA from 1 species
GAAUCAAAGCUUCAUUAUCCUUCAACCAGAAAAAAUAAGUUUAGUUCUUCAUAGAGAGAAGAGAAAAAUUAGAUCUAGGGUUUCUUUCUUUUCUCCAAUCCAAAUCCCCCUUUUUCACAAUAGAUUCCUCCCUUAAAUACUCUCUCUCUAUUCUCUUUUAGAAUUCUAUUUAAAAUAAAAUACUAAUAUCUGAAAUAUUAAAUUUGUAAUUACAAAAAUAACCAAAAAUACAAAACACGUUAAACUAAAAACUGCAGGUCCGUAGUUGACAGCACGCGCCCACGCCUUAUCAACAAAGUUCUUCUGACGCUCAUAAUUUCUCCAAGAGAACAAUCAUCUUUAAACAUCAUCUUAUAGCUCAAUUUUAUCACAAAUCAAUAGAAUUGCACCUACAAAAGUAAAACACAAGCAAAUCAUUAUUAUUAAGUGCAAAACAUCGAUAUUAAGGGAAGUAAACAAUGCAAAACUAGUGCAUAAAUUGCACUCUAACAAAUUCCCCCACACCAAGAUGAUGCUUGUCCUCAAGCUUAUAACUCAAGAUUAAUCCCAAAUCUCCACUCAAUUCUCAUCUCAACUCAUCCAAAAACAAUUUUAAGCAAGUAUACCUCAAGAAAUUAAGUCGAUCAACAUUCGAGAGACAAGGAUUUUAAAGCAUAGAAUCUUAUAAGAUAGAAUAAGAACAUUCAACCACCAAAAAGAUCCAUUCAAAAUUCAAGUGCAACAAGAUUUAAUAGCCCUCUCAUUGACUUCACUCCAUGCACUCAAAGUGUUUAGGGUGUCAUUUAUUCACUCAAAUCAAAUCAAAGAAUGCUAUUACCAUAAGCUUGCUUAUAUAUCACAUCUCAAUCCACAAAACAUGAAUUAAAUGCAAAAAUCUAAGGGUCUUAAAAGGUUGUAACGGGGUUAAAUAGGUCAAAUGAAAAAGAAAGGUUUAUGAAAGAAAAAGAGAUCAAAAUGAGAAGAAUGAACUCAUUGAACGAACUUUAUGAUAUCGAAACGCUUAUUUCUACUCAAGUCACCAAGAAUGUAAACUUUUUUUUUUAUCGAAUUUUUUUUUUCAAUUUUUCUUUUUCUUUUCUUUUUCUUUUCUUUUUUUUGUUUUUUUUUUUUUCGAAUCAAACAAAAGAAACGAACCUUGCACAAUUUAAUUCAAGCAUAAUGCUUGUUGAUCUAAUUGAGAAACUUUAAUACAAGGUAGAAAAGGCAACAAAAUAUAUUCACACAAUGAGUCCAAAAAUCUCCUUAAAUUGAGGCUCAAAAAGAAGAAAAAUGGUUAAGUAGACGGAGAGAAUUAGAUGGGUAAUGGUUAAGGCUCAAACAAAGGUAGCAAAUAAAGGUCUUCGGGUAGAGAAAAAAAAUGCAAGAAUAGAAAAAUGGAAAAGGGUUUGCCCUUAUAAUUUUAAUGCAUAAAAUCCAGUAAUGCGGCUUCAACAUGCAUAACAAAGCAAGUUCUAGAAUAAACAAACUAAGAUUGAUAUUCACAUAACAAAAAUAUUAGAGCAAAGUGGUUGCUCAUAGGCUCAAAUCCUCACAAAGUUGGUAAAUUUGCCAUCAAAUCAUGUACACUCUUCAAAUGAAUCAACCAUCAAUAGUGGUGUAGAAUGAGAAGAAGGUAUGAGUGAUAUAUAAAAGGAAAGGUAAAAAUGAUAAGAAGUGAGAAAGAUGAAAAGUGAAAGAUAAAAUGUGAGUGAUGAAAGAGUAUGAUAGAAUAAAAAUAGAUGUAAAUAAUUUAAGAUAGAUGGGAAAAAAAAAAGUAGUGAGAAAUAAAAGAAAAGAAAAAAUAAUAAUAUAUAAAGCAUACUAACUCCAAAAUCAUUUAAGGAUGAGUAGAGUGAAAACAAUAAUUCCAGACAUCAAUAAUGCAAAAAUCCCUCCCCCACACCAAGAACUUAUAUUGUCCCCAAUGUAAGAUAAUCAAAGCUCACAUAAAAAUUAAAGCGUAAGGAUAAAAGAUUAAAGGCAAAAACUUCCCUGAAUUGUGAGCUUUGAUCCUCAUAACGUCUAUGGGCUUGGCGGGAAUGGUGGGAUAAAUCCCACACUCUUGAAGUAUGCGGCCAAAUUCUGCUCCAUCUUGUCACGGAUUUCAAUUCACGCGGCUGGAAUGCUGGUCGUAGGCUGGUUGCGGACUAUUGCUGCUCGACUGGAGCUUGCGGGUACACGGCUGUUGGUUCAGUUGCGCGCGGAUGGUUGUGCUGCACGGGUUGGUGCUGGUUCGCGCUGCGCGCGCAGCUGGGGCUUACGUUGCGCGCUGCUGGGGCUUGCGUUGCGCGCUGGUUGGACUUGCGAGACACGGGAUGCUGGUGCUGCACGCGCGGGGUGGUGCGUUUUCCGGCGGGCUGGUUUGCUGCUGGUGUGCUGCAAGCGGCUGGAGAAGAAAACAAGAUCUGGAAAAUUAGGGAUUUUGUGAACAAUUAAUUUUUUUUUUUUUUUUUUUAGUGAUGAAUCACUUUGAGAUACCAAAAAUUUCAGAAGUACUUUUUUAAUAAGCACGCCUUAAAACUAUUUUACUUUUAAAAUUACAGAAGUACUUAUUAGUUAAAACGUGGGCACGCCUUAUCAAAAAUUUUCUUCUGACCAAAAUAAGCAAACACAAAUUUUUUUUUUUUAAAUCUGAAUCAAAACUAAAAGAAGAUAAAACAAAAACCAAAAUAAACAAAUCAUUUGGGUUGCCUCCUAAAAAGCGCCUUUGUUUUAUAUCUUUGGCUAGACACAUUUAUGCAUCAAUCUCCAUAAAUAGGACUCUCGAGAGCCAUUUCCUCCACAAUAUUCACCGAAAAACCUUCAUAAAAAGGUUUUAAGCGAUGACCGUUAACUUUAAAAACUUUGUCAGAGGUCGGACUCCGAAUCUCAACUGCACCAUGAGGAAAAACAUUAGUAACAAUAAAAAGUCCAACCCAGCAAGAACGUAAUUUACCUGGAAAAAGUUUAAGCUUAGAAUGAAAAAGAAGAACUUUUUGACCAACAGAGAACUUCUUUCUCAAAAUCAUUCUAUCAUGAAAUGUCUUCGUCUUUUCCUUGAAAAAAACUUCCUGCGGUAUAGGGUUAAUAACAUCCACAGAAAAUACCGAAUGUUCCUCACUAGGAUAUUUCAUGGCAUCAUUUAUAUUGAAUUCUAUAACCUCUCCAUCAAACUCCAUAGUGAGAGUCCCUUUAUAUACAUCCAUUUUAGUCCUAGCAGUCUUAAGAAAAGGUCUUCCUAGCAAAAUUGGGACAGAAUUAGAGAAGUUAUCCUCUUCCAUAUCAAGUACAUAAAAAUCAACAGGAAAAACCAACUCAUUAACUUGUACUAGGACAUCUUCUAAUACCCCAUCAGGAUAUGUAUUAGACCUAUCAGCUAGUUGAAUUAUCACGCCAGUUUCUUUUAAUGGACCAACAUUCAAAGAUGAAUAAAUGGAACGAGGCAUGACAUUAAUAGAAGCUCCUAGAUCUAACAUAGCCUUUUCAACUUUGACAUUACCAAUUUUGCAAGGGAUAGUAAACAUACCUGGAUCCUUGCACUUAGGAGGUAGUUUCUUUUGGAGAACUGCUGAAAAAUUCUCCCCCAUAUGAACUUUUUCAUCUCCUCUUAAUUUUCUCUUGGAGGUGCACAGUUCCUUAAGGACUUUAGCAUAUCGAGGUAUUUGUUUUAUAGCAUCUAAUAAAGGAAUAUUUACCUCAACCUUACGAAAUGUCUCAAGGAUGUAUUUCUCUUGUUCCUCCUUCUUGGAUUUUGCAAACCAGCUUGGAAAAUGAGGAGGUAUCACAAUAGGUAGGGGUUUCGCUCUGGUGGGUUGCGCAUCUUGAGAUUUAGGCAUCAAUUCAUUCUUCUCAAACUCAUCUUCUACAUGCUUUGUCACUUUCUUACUAGGCUCUUGCAACUCCUUCCCACUUCUAAGGAUGACAGCACUAACGUUUUGCUUUGGAUUCACCUCAGAUUGUGAAGGCAAUCUCCCUAAUACUUGAGACUCCAGACGGCUUACUGUAGUCGCCAAUUAACUCAUUUGGUUCUCCAAGUUCUGAAUGCUUGUUGUAGUUGCCUGUUGAAAUUGUUGAGUGUUAGUCGCAAAUGAUUUAACAAUUUCUUCAAGAGAUAUACCUGACUUGGAGUUUGACUGUGGAGGUGCUGGUUGUCUUGGUGGAUACUGCUGUGGGAAUCCUGACGGCCUAACUCCAUAGCUGAAGUUGGGGUGAUCCUUCCAUCCCGGAUUGUAUGUUUGUGCAUAAGGAUCAUACCUCCUCUGAGGCAUGCCUGGAAAUCCUCCAACUGCAUUGGCUUGUUCAACGGGUUCUUCUUGAAGUGUAGGACACAUAUCAGUUGAAUGACCCAUAUUGUAACAAAUACCACAAGUCUUCACCUGUUGCACAUUACCUACAACAAACUUUUCCACAAGAGAAGUGAGUUUAUCUAAACGUUGUUCAACAGAAGAAAUAUUUACCUCAUUCACCUUCCUUGAAGUGGGAUCUUGCCUGCUGCCAAAUUGUUGUGCGUUGGCAGCCAUAUUUGAUAUCAACUCCCUUGCUUGAGUAGGAGUCUUGUUCACCAACACGCCUCCACUAGCAGCAUCUAUCAUACUUCUAUCCAUCAAUGAUAGUCCUUCGUAAAAAUAUUGAAUAAGAAGUUGAUCAGAAAUUUGAUGCUGAGGACAGCUGGCACACAAUUAUUUGAAUCGCUCCCAAUACUCAUACAAAGUCUCCCCAGGAAGUUGUCUAAUCCCACAAAUUUCUUUUCUGAUGUUGGCAGCUCUUGAAGCAGGAAAGUACUUCUCGAGGAACUGCUUCUUCAAAUCAUUCCACGUUGUAAUCGAUCCAGGAGGCAAGUAAUACAACCAGUCUUUAGCUAGCCCAUCUACAGAGAACAGAAAAGCACGCAGCUUAAUCUGCUCUUCAGUCACGCCUUGUGGUCUCAUACUUGAACACACAACAUGAAACUCCUUAAGAUGUUUAUGAGGAUCUUCACCUGCAAAACCAUGAAACCUGGGUAAUAAAUGAAUAAGACCAGACUUUAAUUCAAAAUUUACCUCCAAGUCUACAUAUUGAAUGCAGAGUGGUUGUUGAUUCAAGUCUGGUUCAGCUAACUCUCUAAGAGUUCUUUCUACAGGUGCAGCUCUAUCCAUCACUUGUUCUUCUGAAUCGCUAAAUGAUUCAACUAAAUCAGGCACCGUAUCUGUUUCAGAAAGGAAAGGCGACGAGGAUCGUUGCUUAGCUCGCUUUGUCUGCUGUCUCAGCUGGCGAGCUGUCUUCUCAAUUUCAGGAUCAAACGAAAGUGUACCUGUACGAGAAGAACGAACCAUACACCAAGUAAAACGUAAAAAGGAUUAAAUAAAUGACACCAAUCCCCGGCAACGGCGCCAAAAUUUGAUGGGUGUCGAAGCCAACAAAAAUAAAUUCCUACUCUAAAUAAAUUGUGUAUAGUGAUUGAGCAGGGUCGUGUCCACAGAGAUCGGUAAUUAUUUAAAUCAUUUUGAAACGUAAAACGUAAAAUGGGGGAAUUGUUGACAAUAAUAAAAAUCAAAUUAAAAUAACGAGAAUGUAAAUUAAAGUUGUGAUUCAAAUUGGAGAAAGCUCUGGUUGAAGGAAUUAACUCAGCUUGAUUCGACUACUGAUCAUUGAUUCAAAUAUAGAUUAUUAUUACUUAUGAAUAGACCGGUUAUAGCUACUAGGACCCUCUAAUAGCCAAUCUCUCCUUAACUAGUCGAUAACCAAGGUACGACCGUUGGUUAUUUCCCUAAUCAAUAGACAACCCUAGAUACGAUCAUAGGAUUCAAUCAAUUGACAGCCUGAAAAACCAGAGAGACCCAAAUCCUAAUCAACACAUAUGAUGAUUCAUUUAAAUUAGAUUGUUUAUUCUCACAACACAACUCUCUACUAUGUUAUUUGUCACAAACAUUAAAUUCUUCAUAAGAUGAAUCCUUUAAUUGACAAUAGAUUAAGUUGAUAAUUAAAUAGUGGCCAAUUACCUAAUUAACAAACAUAAUCAUGAAAAUAAUUCAGAGAAUAAACAAAUACCCAAAAAGCAAUAAAACAAUUAAAGCACAAGAAAGAUCUCACAGUAGUGAUGAAUCAAAGCUUCAUUAUCCUUCAACCAGAAAAAAUAAGUUUAGUUCUUCAUAGAGAGAAGAGAAAAAUUAGAUCUAGGGUUUCUUUCUUUUCUCCAAUCCAAAUCCCCCUUUUUCACAAUAGAUUCCUCCCUUAAAUACUCUCUCUCUCUUCUCUUUUAGAAUUCUAUUUAAAAUAAAAUACUAAUAUCUGAAAUAUUAAAUUCGUAAUUACAAAAAUAACCAAAAAUACAAAACACGUUAAACUAAAAACUACAGGUCCGUAGUUGACAGCACGCGCCCACGCCUUAUCAACAAAGUUCUUCUGACGCUCAUAAUUUCUCCAAGAGAACAAUCAUCUUUAAACAUCAUCUUAUAGUUCAAUUUUAUCACAAAUCAAUAGAAUUGCACCUACAAAAUUAAAACACAAGUAAAUCAUUAUUAUUAAGUGCAAAACAUCGAUAUUAAGGGAAGUAAACAAUGCAAAACUAGUGCAUAAAUUGCACUCUAACAAGGACAUAAUCCAUGAAGACUACUA